ACCGUCUACACAACCGACACGACUCUCGGCAACGGAUAUCUCGGCUCUCGCAUCGAUGAAGAACGUAGCGAAAUGCGAUACCUGGUGUGAAUUGCAGAAUCCCGCGAACCAUCGAGUCUUUGAACGCAAGUUGCGCCCGAGGCCGUCCGGCCGAGGGCACGCCUGCCUGGGCGUCACGCCA
rnacentral:rRNA from 1 species